UCUUCCCCAGCCAAAACCCUAAUUGCCACCUGCAAAUCCUUUUCAAUUUCAUAGCAUCCACUAAAAGAUUCCAUUUUGCACUAGAGAAUCAUAUGUAUCCUUCCUUGAAUUCAUUUCAAAGAAGGAUUCUUUUCUUAAAAUGGUUUGUUGCAAGCUAAGUUCUUUUUCUGCAACCUAAAACAUGCGAGAAUGGAACUCGUGAGAAAAGGAAAAGACUUCCAUCUGCUUAUAGUAUAUUUCUGAAGUAAGGAGAAAAGGGCCAUAUUCUUUAAUCUAUACUAUUACUCCAGUAUGGUGGGUCGAAUAGAGUUUUUUUCAUGAUGGCGAUUGGGGUUUCCUCUCUUUAGGCUCCGGUGGUGUUUGGAGAUCAUGAUCAUUGCGGAUUGGAAGGUAAUGAUGGCCCGUCUCCUGGUUUGCAUAUCCCUUUCUGCUUGCUGAAACCGCAUCUUAUCCCAGUGAGAGAGCCCUUAACGGCUACUGCUAUGAAUGAUAUUCUUGGUGCAGCUGUUGAAUCGGUGAACCCUCAAGCAAGAUGUUAUCUUAUGUUGCCACUGUUGGGAGUGUUAUGGCUCAGAUCUAAAAACUUAGUGAUUCCAGGGUUUUUUGGCAUGAAUCAACUAUAUGGAAUAGGCUUGUAUUGGGAUUAUUGGGAUCGAUCAAAGCCGCUUCCAAUCCAAAUCGACUGGUUCAUCGGUCUGAUUCCCAAAUGUUUAAACCAUGAGUACAUGUAAUGAGGCUCUCCAUAAUUAAUCUUAAAAGGUGGGGUGGAAUCUUGAACCAUAGAUUAUCAUCAUGCUAUGGAAAUUAAGCUAAUUUUUUCUCC